rnacentral:rRNA from 1 species
CCUAUCAGGUAGUCGGCGGGGUAACGGCCCACCGAGCCUACGACGGGUAGCCGGCCUGAGAGGGCGACCGGCCACAUUGGGACUGAGAUACGGCCCAGACUCCUACGGGAGGCAGCAGUGGGGAAUAUUGCACAAUGGGCGCAAGCCUGAUGCAGCGACGCCGCGUGCGGGAUGACGGCCUUCGGGUUGUAAACCGCUUUUGAUCGGGAGCAAGCCUUCGGGUGAGUGUACCUUUCGAAUAAGCACCGGCUAACUACGUGCCAGCAGCCGCGGUAAUACGUAGGGUGCAAGCGUUAUCCGGAAUUAUUGGGCGUAAAGGGCUCGUAGGCGGUUCGUCGCGUCCGGUGUGAAAGUCCAUCGCUUAACGGUGGAUCUGCGCCGGGUACGGGCGGGCUGGAGUUCGGUAGGGGAGACUGGAAUUCCCGGUGUAACGGUGGAAUGUGUAGAUAUCGGGAAGAACACCAAUGGCGAAGGCAGGUCUCUGGGCCGUUACUGACGCUGAGGAGCGAAAGCGUGGGGAGCGAACAGGAUUAGAUACCCUGGUAGUCCACGCCGUAAACGGUGGAUGCUGGAUGUGGGGCCCGUUCCACGGGUUCCGUGUCGGAGCUAACGCGUUAAGCAUCCCGCCUGGGGAGUACGGCCGCAAGGCUAAAACUCGAAGAAAUUGACGGGGGGCCCGCACAAGCGGCGGAGCAUGCGGAUUAAUUCGAUGCAACGCGAAGAACCUUACCUGGGCUUGACAUGUUCCCGACAGCCGUAGAGAUGCGGCCUCCCUUCGGGGCGGGUUCACAGGUGGUGCAUGGUCGUCGUCAGCUCGUGUCGUGAGAUGUUGGGUUAAGUCCCGCAACGAGCGCAACCCUCGCCCUGUGUUGCCAGCACGUCAUGGUGGGAACUCACGGGGGACCGCCGGGGUCAACUCGGAGGAAGGUGGGGAUGACGUCAGAUCAUCAUGCCCCUUACGUCCAGGGCUUCACGCAUGCUACAAUGGCCGGUACAACGGGAUGCGACAUGGCGACAUGGAGCGGAUCCCUGAAAACCGGUCUCAGUUCGGAUUGGAGUCUGCAACCCGACUCCAUGAAGGCGGAGUCGCUAGUAAUCGCGGAUCAGCAACGCCGCGGUGAAUGCGUUCCCGGGCCUUGUACACACCGCCCGUCAAGUCAUGAAAGUGGGUAGCACCCGAAGCCGGUGGCCUAACCCCUUGUGGGAUGGAGCCGU